AUAUCCAUGCCAAGUUUCUCAGCCAGACUGUUGGAAGAACAACGAGGAACGCUAUCAAAAGCAGCACCUUGGAAGGGCCAAUCUCAAGAGCUGAGAUCCGAAGAGUGGCAUGAGGGAAUAGCCUGGCAAGAUUGUCACCCAUGGAAAUCGUGUAGCUCACCAACACUGCUAUCAUCUCGAAUUGAACCAGCAAGGUGAAGGGGAGGCGAGCUCUGGAACCGAAGGCAGCCUCGGCAAUUGUGUUGUAUGUUCCAUUUGGGAUGAGGCAGCGACCAAGAACAUAGGCAGUAUAGCAGCAUAUCACUGAAAACGCGAACAGGAUGCUCAAACCCAGCCAGCCACCUUGCUCGAGAGCGUAGGGUGUGGUGAGGAAAGAAAUCCCUGCAAAGAAUCAAGGCAGCUUGCUUGAAGCUUUUCAAAUCAAGAAGAAUAUCGUCAAUCACGAGUUAUCACUCACCAAGUAUGGCACUGACACUAUUGAAUGUUGCAUGUAGGAAUGAGCUUCUUUGUAGCUUGUUUUGUGAUUGAUCAUUUUGAUCAAGGCUCUGCCCCUCAAGAGCUUGGUGCUCCAUAUCUAUCUCGACAUCGCGCUCAGACGAAGGCCCUUGGAAAAAAAUCCAAAAUCAAAAGUCAUGGUACAAGCCUUUUUUGAAGAUUCGUGAGAAUCAAGGUGAUCUCGUGAAUCUUCAAAAAAGGAUUGUGCCAUGACUUUAUGCCUUGAUUCUUGCUUAAACUCAAAAGGUCAGAAAGUCAUGGAAGAAAUGCAUAAUCCAGCAUAAAUGUUUAAUGAUUAAUUAUAAAUUAGUAACGUUAAACUUUAAUUCGUAAAUGUAAAUAGUGGUGCCUUUGGUUGUUGAGGUUAUUUGUGGUAAGGUAAAUGAACCUAUCUUUGAUCAUGUGAUGUCCAUGUGAACAAAUCUGACUGCCUCACCUCACUUGUAUUAUUAUCCAUCCACACCUUUUGCCAUUGCCAAAGGGAAUCGAAUCAAAGCUUUGCACUUUCAACAAAAUCUAACAACAAUUAUAAUUUUAACAACUAUAAUUUUAUAAUUAAGUAUAUAACCUAUGCUUGGUUUGGGCUUUUCCUCAUUGUGCUUUAUAUUUGUGUUCCUUCUUAUAUUUUAUUUCUUAUUUUAUUCAUUCUCUUUAGUAUUAUGGCUAGAUUAGAAUAUGUAAAUCAUCAUCAGAUAGUAUUCUUUCUUUUUCUGAUCUUAUUGAGAGAACUAAUAGUAAGGUAAAUUCAUUUACUUUUUUGUAUUACGGUUGGUCUUAUUCCAAAAAUAAAAAUUAUAAUUUAAUUUUUUAAAUACUUAAAUAAUUAAAAAAUAAUAUACUAGAACAAUCUUUAAUUUGUAAUAAUGAGGUGGCAUGCUUAUGUAAGCAAUGAGGUGAAGUCCAAAUAAACAAAUGGGGCCCACCUAAAUAAAGGAUGGUGUCUAUUUCUGACAAUAGAUUUGCAAAUUGAUCGUUUCAAUCAAGGCUUUGUCCCUUCACAAAGCUCCAUCCCACAUGAAAAAUUGCGAAAGCUCUCCUCCAUGAAUUGGUCAGGAGCUCCAUUGAAGUCAUGAUCGUCCUACUCAUCAGAAGCAUCAUCGCUCCAUGCGUUUUGACCACCUACGAAGUCACGAGACCGUCUCCCAAGUGUUUCUACCUUUAAAGGUGGUCUCAAAACGUGUCCAACCCCACUUAAUUUUCUUGACAGAUGGGGCGGGACCACGUCAGCCUUUCGUUCUAGAUGUGUUUGGAUGGAACGCGGAGAGUGAAGAAGGUGAGUGAAGAAGAUAAUUUUCCAUUCUCCCAUGUCCGCAACAAAUUCAUGGGAUCAAGCCGCUCUUCGUCUCUUGUGGCACGGAGGCUCCACAUUCGAUGCCUGGCUCAACAUUGUUGCUGCGAAGGUUUCUCACUGAUUUCUUGAGAAAGAUGUGCCUGACUAGUAUCAUACAAACAUGUGUAGCUGGCUUCGCGGCUCCUCACUUUUCCACAGUCCACUGCCCAAUUGGGGCUGCCUUCGGCCAUUGUUUUCCAGCUGCUUCUAUCGGCGAUGGGAUUGUGGGCUCAAUCCGCGAUAAAUGUUCUCUACUUGAGACACAAGCGGAUGGUGAAUCCAGAGACAACAGCGAAUCAACCCUGGCACACGACUCAGGUACAAUCAAAGAGUUUUAGAAUCGACCGCUUAAGAGCACCGCAGCUUCACGAAGUUAUUGGAGGGCUUCUGGGAUCUAAAUGGAAGAUUGUUUCCCUCGUGUUCAACAUUGUCACACUCUUCUAUGUUUCGUCGGCUCAACUUAUAGCAUGUAGCAAGUGAGAGUUCUUUCUGACAUUCCUUUUGUCACUCUCGAUCAUAUCUCAGACUUCCUUGUCAAUUGGGGCAGUGUGGCAUACACCGUGAAUGACAACAUGGACAAGAGAACCUGGACGUUUGUGUUUGGGGCAAUCUUCUCACUGCCAAUUCUUUUCCCGAGCGCUCACAACUACAGAGUUUGGUCGUUCCUGGGAGUGGUCACUAUUAUCUUUGACUCUGCUUACAUGACAAUAGCAACGCUGUUUGACAGAAAGGCAAGACUAUACUUUUCAAUCAUUACUAAAAUCAUUCCCACAGGCCGGAAACGUCAGGCAUUCGUCACCACGAAGCUCCCAGGAAUAUUUUACCGGUUUGGUCGGGAUGCUGAUCCUCGGAAACGUUCCCAUCCCUGUGUAAGAUCAUGUCACACUAGUAAAGUUUCAUCCUUGAUAAUGUGUUUUCUCUGCAAGGGAGAUCAUGGAUGCAAUGUGGAAGCCUGACGAGUACCAGGCAGCAAAUCUUUACGGGAUGGCUUGCAUUUUGGUGGUGGUCAUGCUUCCAAGCAUCAGCAUGGAACGCAAAUAUGGAGACAAGCUUCUCGCCACCCCAAACGCGAUGUUGCUACUCCCAAGAUCAAAGUUUCACGACAGUGCCAACGUCCUCAUCCUCCUUCAUGUGGUUAGUAUAUCAUGGAUCCAUAUGAGCUCUAAGUUCUACAUCUUCUCUGAUCGAUUGAGAGAAACCCAAUUCAUCAGGUUAUCAACUUUGGCAUGUACUCCCUCGCACUUUACGCGACGUGGGAGAAGAUAGUGCGCAUCCACGACUCACCAAGCUACGUGAAGCGAACGUUGUCCCGGAUACCAGUGUUCCUGGCGCUGUGGAUCACCGCUCUCGCCUUCCCUUUCUUCGGUGCAAUCAACAAGCUCUUGGACGCCAUCCUUGUGUCCUGGAACUUCUUCAUCAUCCCGUGCGCGGCUUACAUUGCAGUCUUUUGGUUGCCGCGGCCGCGGCGAGACUCCAAAUCCCUGUCGAGGCUGGGCUGGGCGGUGGAUUUGAGCGUUUGCCUGGGCAUUAUCCUGUGGAUGCUGGUCAUGCAAUGUGGGCUGGGCUUGUGGGGCGACGUCCACACUUUCGUCAAGGUGUUGGAGGGAACCAGGCCCUUUCCAAAGUGCUAUCGCUGCGCACCUCCAAAGUAGAGAACAUCUUCUUGGGCAUAUUCCUAGAAUUUAGGGCUGUCGAUUCCUAUAUCCUUUUAGGGCUGAUGAUGAGAGAAUGCUGCGAGGAGGUGGAGGUAAGGCAGGAGGAGGGCUGCAUCAGCGAGAAUAGGCUGAGGAGGGCGAGUGUUAGUACCACCGCCAGCAAUGCUGCAUCCAAAGAGGGAGCAGAGGAGCGAAAGCUCGCUCGAUCUCCAAAGCUUGCGGGGAGGCUCCCCGAGGCGUUUGAUCUAGCGAAAGAUCGAUAACAAGAGGAAGAUGCUCAUGAGCCGAGCUUUCAAGGACUAUACCGGGUUUGAGUACGAGGGAAGCGGCCUGGACGAGCACACUAGAAAGGAGAUGGCGAGGAAGAAAAAGAAGCUGGGACGGGACAAGGUGAGUGUGCGGCAUUCGAUUCCUUCUCUUUCGGAUCCUCACAAGUACUUUUGACAGCUCCACAAGUGAUAUAGAUCUCUUUAACGAAUCUAUCAAUGCUCGAAGCGUUUGUAGCGAUGGAAAGAACACUAGAAGGCUCCAACGAAUCUAUCAGUGCUCGAAGCUUUUGUAGCAACACAGGAAAGUUAGAAGAGCUUAUAGCGCAAACAAGACAAACAUUGGAGGAGAAAACUAUGUACAAGGUACUUGUAGUGUGUACGUAUGUAUGUAGGUAGUGUCGACAGAUCCAGGUCGUUAAACUGCGAGAGACCACAAACUUUGGAGAAUUUCCCAGAGAGAGCAAAGCAAGAUUUCUUACCUGUGGACAUCCCGGCUACGUGGGAAGCCAUGGAAGAAUGCUUUCGAAAGGGGCUGGCCAAGGCAAUCGGUGUGAGUAACUUUAGCACGAAAAAGCUGCACGACUUGCUUCAACAUGCAAAGAUCACUCCUGCAGUGGAUCAGGUAACACCAUGAUCUUCAAGAAAACUUCUACCAAGUUGUGUUGUCACUCUUCAAGGUUGAAUUACAUGAGAGACUUGUGCAAGAGAAAUUGUGUCCAAGUGAUUGCUUGGUCACCUCUAGGUGGUCUUGGCAAGCCUUGGGGAAGCAAAUCCGUUAUAGAGCAUCCUGUUAUCCAGGAAAUCGCUCUAAAGCACCACAAAUCUCCUGCUCAGGUACAUGGUUUUCUUGAUUCCCGUUAAGUUUCAUUCAUCCAUGCGUACAGGUGAUCAUACGAUGGCUCACGGAAAUCGAUGUAGCUCCCGCUGUCAAGACCUACAACUCCCAGAGACUUCUGGAAAACAUUAACAGCUUCGAUUUCAGCUUGGCAGACGGGGACCAUAAACGAAUCGAGACCAUCGCACAGGAAAGGCUUGGUAUGUGGGAUGCUUUGUGCAAUUUCACUACCAGUCCUUACAAGUCACUUUGAAUGCCAUCAUAAGCUAUAUAACUCUGUCAUCUUUCUAUUUGAAGAUUCUUCAAAUGAAGAGUUACUUGGAUGAUGAUCAUGAUCUUAUGCGGUGCACAAAAUUGAUGAUGGACGCGAUGGUUCCAGCCAUGCCCACCGCAGUUCCCACAGCCAAGAUGGCAUAGUUGACUCCGGCCUCCCACUUUGGCAUCACGUUUCUGUAUAUUCUCAAGUAAAAUAACGAAGGAAGGGUCACCGCUACGAGCAUGCCUGAGGCAGAGCCUAUAAAUGCCACCAUGGUUUCGAAGUAUGGAAAAACCAUAGCCAACAAAAAAACGAAGAUCAGGAGACCGGUCCUGAGAAGCAGGGUGGAUGCCACAAAAGAUCUCGAAGUAUUGGGCCACGGGAAUUUGCUCUCAAUAUCGAGAGCUAUGGGAGCAAGGCAUAACGAAUACUUGCUGAAUGGAAGGAGAACAACCAUCCAUAGCACAAGCUUGGCAGCAACCAAGUGUGUGGGAAUAUUUAGAGAUACUUGCGGAAGUGUAUAGUCCCCAAACAUGGUUCCUCCUAGAAACGCGAAUCCAAUGUAUACCAUCGUGGAGAUCAUAAAACUGAGAACCAACACCUAGAAGUCCAGUACGAAGUUUAGUUUUACAUCUGCAUGUCAGUCGAUAAAAAUGGUACCUUUGCAUAGUUGGAGGGAUUCUUGAGCGACGUAUAAACACUAGGAAGAGCACAGUGAGCCGCAAAACAGUAGGCAUAGAUUCCCGCGAUGUUGAGCAAGUUUUCCGGUCUCAAGUGUGGAACGGAGUGGUGAAACCCGAUGCCCAAUCCAGCUCCGGCAUAAAUCAUUGUAACCGUGAUGAUCAUGUACGUAACAAUACCGAAUAGAGAUAGAUAUGAUAUCCAUGCCAAGUUUCUUAGCCAGACUGUUGGAAGAACAACGAGGAACGCUAUGAAAAGCAGCACCUUGGAAGGGCCAAGCUCAAGAGCUGAGAUCCGAAGGGUGGCAUGAGGGAAUAGCCUGGCAAGAUUGUCACCCAUGGAAAUCGUGUAGCCCACCAACACUGCUAUCAUCUCGAAUUGAACCAGCAAGGUGAAGGGGAGGCGAGCUCUGGAACCGAAGGCAGCCUCGGCAAUUGUGUUGUACGAUCCAUUUGGGGUGAGGCAGCGAC
rnacentral:lncRNA from 1 species